AUAUAGUUGAAAUAGCAGUCCAAUUCUAGACAAGAAAUACAGUAGAAACCUUUGCAUAGAUAGUUUUUUUAAAAAUAUGACAGAAGUUUGUAAAUAAUACAGAGGGCUUCAGGGACAAACGAAUUCAGACAGAGGUAUCUAAAUGCAAUGGCAGUAACCUGAUUAUUAAUUUAUUGUUAUUAUAAACAAGGUGAAAGUAAAGACCUAGGAACAGGAUUCCUACAUGUAAAAUGCAUGUCCUAAACAUAAUUUCUAUUGCAUAAAUAGGUGAGUAAAAUUCAACAAACAUGUUUUCUACCCAUACCUUUAAUAAUCAUCCAUAACCCUCCCCAAUUUCACUAUAAUCCCCAUUGUUAUUUACAAGUUACUACAUACCAAGUAAUUUAAAAAUACAAUAGUGAUAAAAAAGAAGAAUCUAUUCUAUAGGGAGCCUAUAGCCAGGCCCAAGAUCUCCAUCCUCACUUAUUUUGAGUUUCACAGUCAUUACCAAGGCUUGGGUGCGGCAAAGUUCCCUAAGGGUUCGUUUUAACCCCUGGCCAAUACCAAGCACCCAUAACAUCAUAGUUAGAUAAGUGUGGAAGUGCCAGCCGUGUGCAUCAAAGUUCAAUGGGUGCUCAAGGCUCCCAAGGCAGUGCUUACACUAAGGGACAGACCUAACACUUUAAGAAUAAGAUUGUGAUUAGAAUUGAGAGAGUUGAAAACAGUUGAGAGACAGUUUAAGAAAGUAGUUGAAAGAAUUGAGAGAGUUUAAGAAAAUAGUUGAAAGAGUUGGAAAAUUUGAGACACUUUAAGAAAAUAGUUGAAAGAGUUGAAGAGGUUCUUCUGAAAUCAUUUAGAUUGACCAGUUUUAGAACAACACAACAUCACACAAAUGAGAGGAAAGGGGAAGGGAACAAAUAAGCGAAGUAAACUAUUCACACAGGCAACACAUUGGAAGAAAGUAACCACACAUGGUUGCAAAAACAAGAGUUUAUUUCUUACUGUACUAAACUCUAAUACACUUAGCCUCAAACAGAGGUUUAGGUUAACCAAGUAGUCAAAAAGACAUGGAUGCAUGGUAGUAGUACAAAAGUAAACAUUCAUUGAGACAUGGGAGGGGGUAAGGGAGCAUGUUAAACGGAUCCAAAUAGAUUAGUAAGUAACAUGCUAGUGAUAAAAAG
rnacentral:lncRNA from 1 species